UCAAAAUAAUGGUAACCACGUAAACAUUUCGCCCGAGCGCAAGCAGCGUUUCGUUGUGAAUGGCAAAUGGCCACAUUACAUCUUCUGGCAUUUUGUUUGAAUACUGGUUGGAAUAUAAUGUAUAUACUAAUUUUAAAGAAGUUUGAUUUAUUGCGGUCUUUUGAUUAUUAUUAUUUUUCAAUUUAAUCAUUUAUUAAGAAUUCUAAUUCUAAUUUGUAUACCUAUACUUAUGAAAUGAGACUUUAAUAAACUUGAAUUGCAUUUCUUUUUGACUAUAUUUUGUUAUCAGAUCAACAAAUUAUGAAGUUACAAUUGAGUGCUCACUGUCACGUGAAAACCGAGAGGUUGAAUGGCUUUUAGAGCAAGAAGAAGACAAGUACUUUUUUCUUAUUGGGAAUUCGUUAUUUUUUGAUAAACAAAUAUUAAUCAAUUGUAUUUGUGAAAAUAUCCAAAUUCUUGCUGUUGAAAGUGGACUCAUGAUAUUCAUAAUAUAAUGAUUCAUGCAAAUGAUUCAUGAUAUUACUAUUUGUAUAAAUAUAACCAUUCAAAGAGCUAAUUCAACUGCUAAAAUCAUUUUAGCGGCUGUUUUAAAAAUAGUUCCUAAUCUUUACCAAGACAUUAAAGAAAUGUUUACUUUUUUAUAAGUAUUUUUGAUUAAACGCACAUUGCAAUGAAUAAUAAUUGCUAUUAUAAGAAUUCUUGGUAUCCUGAUUUCCAAAUAUAGUGCACUAUAGCUGUUCGAUUUGUAAGAACAUUAGAACUGCAAAUAAAAACACUGAUAAGAUAUUUUACAUUCCCAGUCGGAUAUCUCCGUCGACUCCUUGAAACCAGCAGUGAUACAUCACUCUAUUAAAGGGUAUAUCUUUAUAGCAAUUAAACAUCACGCAAAUGUCCCUUACAUCAAUAAGAAAGCAAGUUUAUUAAACGUUUCACACAGCGGCAUCGUAGUGCUAUCGAUACAGAGUUCUAUUGUAAGGCGAGUGCGACUACGGCGAUGCGAGAUGGGCAAAAGGUAAAA
rnacentral:sRNA from 1 species